GACUGCGCACGCCUGAAAUCUAACUCAUCCGGAUUAGGCGGUAUGAUACUAAAAAAACUACAAGUUUGAAGUAAAUUGGCAAAAAAAAUUUCCAGUUGAUUUAGCCUAGAAAUUAUCUCUGCUUUAUUCGUGAUUAGAUGUAUUUCUGGAAAAAACAUUUUCAUUCCUUUUUUUGCGAUUUUCUGAAGGUCGUUCCCUGGUUGCCAGGGGCAACGCAUUGUUUUGGCGUCCUUUUUCCAAUGAAAACGGGCCAUAGUAAUCGGAAAAAAAUAUUUCCAUUGCAUGGACUUCCUGUGUUAUACUGUAUAGAGGUAGACUAGGUCCUAACAUUCACACAUUUUGCAAGUAUUUACAAUUUCUUCCAAGUUUCUUGAUCGUUAUACGUUUAAUAUCUUCUAAAGUCUCUAAAUCUCAUCAUAAGAAGUCUAUUAUGCCUAAAAAUCGAAGUGUUAGACGACCAAAGAGAAGAUUCUCGGGCAAUCAGCACACAAAAUUGCAAGAAACGUUGCCGAAAAUAGCCAAGAAAGACGAUGUCGACGAGACACGUGUUGAUGUCAACACGUCCUCUAGGCGAUCUGUUUCGUCUAAAAAACUAUCUAAAGACGUCCCAAAAUUGUCUACAUCUUUCCAAGAACAGUCAGGGGACCUUUUAUCACUGGAUACAGGCUCAUUGAUAUGGAAAUACUCAGUGAGAUAUUGUAUUCUCUUCGCUGCAGUGAGUGUGCCGAUUCCAGUCUUACGUUGAUGGAAAAUCAACUUCAAAGGAAAGGCUGUGCUUCCAGUCUUAGGCUAUUGUGUUCUUCGUGUGGCUGGAAAACAGAGUUUUUCACUUCGAAAAAGCAAGCGAAGAGUUAUGAAGUAAACAGGCGCCUGGUUUAUUCCAUGCGAUCGCUUGGUAAAGGCCACAGUGGAGCAAAAAGGUUUUGUACCUUGAUGAACAUGCCGCCACCUUCAACCGCACGAGCAUAUUCCAAGAACUCAAAAACUAUUAGUAAGCAUAUUAAAGCUAUUGCUAAUGAAACAAUGAAGAGAGCAGCCAUUGAAAUUAAAGAUCAGAAAGCUGCUAGUGCAGAUGAUAUUGUAAAUUGUGGGGUAUCAUGUGAUGGUACAUGGCAAAAAAGAGGGUUUUGCUAAAAAAAUGGAUGCGUCACAGUCAUUUCCAUGGAUAAUGGAAAGGUCUUGGACACUGAAGCCCUGUCCCAGUCAUGCAAGCAAUGUCAGCAGCAUCCAAAUCUUGACAAAGAGAGUAUUGCCUACAAAACAUGGUGGGCAGAGCACAGCUUCAAGUGCAAUGCCAACUACCAUGGCUCUGCCCCUGGCAUGGAGUCGGUUGGAGCUAGUCGCCUGUUCAGCCGCUCCAUUGAUAAACACAAGCUCAGAUACUCUGAACUUUAUGCUGAUGGUGAUUCUAAGAGCCAUACUGAAGUUGAACAUAUGUAUGAAGAUGAUAAUGUAGUUGUAGAAAAAAAAGAAUGCGUUGGACACGUUCAAAAGAGGAUGGGAACAGCACGGCGGAAAUUGAAUUUAACAAAUGCGGGAAUUGGAGGAAAGGGAAAGUUGACUGAUGCCAUGAUAGACAAACUGCAAAACUAUUAUGGCAUUGCCAUACGAUCAAAUCUCGAUGACCUGAAAGGAAUGAAGAAAGCUAUUUAUGCCACCUUAUUUCACUGUGCAUCUAAUGACAAGGUAGUUCUUCAUGACUAUUGUCCUGAUGGACCAAAUAGUUGGUGUGGUUAUAAGAGGGACAGUGCAAAUAAGACCAAGACCUUCAAGCAUGGUUCUGGCUUACCUAAAGACAUAAUUGCCUUAAUGAAGCCAAUCUAUCUCAGACUGAGUGAUGAUGAAUUGCUGAAAAAGUGCCUACAUGGCAAAACACAGAAUCAAAACGAAUCUUUUAAUGCAAUGAUUUGGCAGCGUGUGCCAAAAGAAGUGUUUGUGGCUCGACCUGUCCUAGAAUUUGGACUUUAUGAUGCAGUGGCACACUUCAAUCAAGGAUCAGCAACUGUUGUAGAUCUCUUCAGGCGAUUGAAAAUAGAUGCUAGCAAGUAUACUAAUUCAGGUUGCACUGCUUUAGACUUAGGACGUAUUUAUGGUGCAGAGUACAAGGAGAGAGACAUACAAAAGAAAAGAAGAAAGGUGCUCAGAGGUCAAAGGAAGAGGAAGGAAGACAAGAAACAGCAGCAAGAAGGACCAAGAUAUUGUGCAGGAUCAUUUUAGUGCAUUGAUUUAGCUGCAGGUGUUGUAAUUAUAAGGAAUUAUUUAUUUCAUAAUUUAAAAUGCAUUUUUCUCAAAAUAUUAAUUCCGUUAAUGUAUGGCUCAGCGUAACACUCACUAGUUCCUGUGUUUUUAAUAUUAUUGCAUGAAAUUUGGCAGGAAUAAUUAUUGAUAGUGUAGUAGUGUAAUGAACCUCAAAAACCUUGAAAUUUUUACAAUGCUUAGUAAUAUGAAGGCUUUUUACCAAAGAAUGCUGGUUAAAAUUAUAAGCUUUUUGUUUGUUUACUUGAUAAUUUUCCAUUUAUGUCAACUAUAUAGCAAUUUUAGGUUCAUUACACAGUUUGAGGUAUUAGCAAUGAAUAUCCUUAGUUUGGUUUGUGUUCCAAUUAUAGUUUCAGAGCUAGAGCUGUUACCGUAAGAGCAUUAAAAUUAUGUAUUUUGGGUG